CUACGGGGGGCUGCAGUGGGGAAUAUUGGACAAUGGGGGAAACCCUGAUCCAGCAAUGCCGCGUGUGUGAAGAAGGCCUGCGGGUUGUAAAGCACUUUCGGUUGGGAGGACUGCUUCUAGCACUAAUAUUGUUGGAAGUUGACGUUACCUUCAGAAGAAGCACCGGCUAACUCCGUGCCAGCAGCCGCGGUAAUACGGAGGGUGCAAGCGUGAUCGGAAUUACUGGGCGUAAAGCGCGCGUAGGCGGCGAGAUCAGUCGGGUGUGAAAGCCCCGGGCUUAACCUGGGAACUGCAUCCGAUACUGUCUAGCUUGAGUACAGGAGAGGAGAGUGGAAUUCCACAUGUAGCGGUGAAAUGCGUAGAUAUGUGGAGGAACACCAAUGGCGAAGGCAGCUCUCUGGCCUGAUACUGACGCUGAGGUGCGAAAGCGUGGGGAGCAAACAGGAUUAGAUACCCGGGUAGUC
rnacentral:rRNA from 1 species